UGCGUAGGGGGCAAGCGUUAUCCGGAUUUAUUGGGUUUAAAGGGUGCGUAGGCGGCAUUAUAAGUUAGUGGUAAAAUAUUGGGGCUUCACCUCACUACGCCAUUAAUACUGUAGAGCUAGAGAACAGACGAGGUAGGCGGAAUAAGUUAAGUAGCGGUGAAAUGCAUAGAUAUCGCGCAGAACUCCGAUUGCGAAGGCAGCAUGCCGGCUCCACACUGACGCUGAGGCACGAAAGCGUGGGUAUCGAACAGG
rnacentral:rRNA from 1 species